rnacentral:rRNA from 1 species
UACGAAGGGUGCAAACGUUGCUCGGAAUUAUUGGGCGUAAAGCGCGCGUAGGCGGCUUGGCAAGUCGGAUGUGAAAUCCCUCGGCUCAACCAAGGAAGUGCAUCCGAAACUGCAGAGCUUGAGUACCAAAGAGGAUCGCGGAAUUCCCGGUGUAGAGGUGAAAUUCGUAGAUAUCGGGAGGAACACCAGUGGCGAAGGCGGCGAUCUGGGUGGAUACUGACGCUGAGGUGGCGAAAGCGUGGGGAGCGAACGGG